AUUGAACGCUGGCGGCAGGCCUAACACAUGCAAGUCGAGCGAGCGGCGGACGGGUGAGUAAUGUAUGGGGAUCUGCCUGAUGGCGGGGGAAAACUACUGGAAACGGUAGCUAAUACCGCAUACCAUCAGAUGAACCCAUAUGGGAUUGGCUUGUAGGUGAGGUAACGGCUCACCUAGGCGACGAUCCCUAGCUGGUCGGAGAGGAUGAUUCGCCACACUGGGACUAAGAAACGGCCCAGACUCCUACGGGAGGCAGCAGUGGGGAAUAUUGCACAAUGGGCGCAAGCCUGAUGCAGCCAUGCGGCGGGUAUGAAGAAGGCCUUCGGGUUGUAAAGUACUUUCAGUCGGGAGGCGUUACCGACAGAAGAAGCACCGGCUAACUCCGUGCCAGCAGCCGCGGUAAUAC
rnacentral:rRNA from 1 species